rnacentral:lncRNA from 11 species
AGACUUUUGGAACUGAAGCAAGUUUCAAAAGGAGGUUGUAAAACAGCCUGGAUUUGAGGAAAAGAGAGGCCGCUGUUCAAAAGCAGAAGAGGACGGAAGCAUACCAUAGAAUCACACUGGAGGACCGAGAACCUGGCAGAUACUUUGGGACAUCAGGAAACAUUUUGUAGAGUGUGGGUAAGUGAAACCAUGGACAUCAAUAAGGAGAUCAUUCUGUA